rnacentral:lncRNA from 1 species
GUCCUGGUAACCCAUCUGGCCCGUCGACCUUGUGAAUGUUGACCUGUUUGAAUGUCUUGCUCACAUCGGCCACAGAGAGCGUGAUCACAAAGUCGUCCGGAACAGCUGGUGCUCUCAUGCAUGCUUCAGUGUUGAUUGCCUCGACGCGAGCAUAAAGGGCAUUUAGCUCAUCUGUGUCCUCUCUGAAGGGGUUAGUGUGUGAGGGCUCCAGCCUGCUACUUCUGAUGCUACUCCAUCUGAGAAAGAACUUGCCGAAAAACAUGACAUUCCUCUCCUUUCACCAGGACACACAUCUCAACCUCCACAUAUUUGAAGUCUGGUGGGUCAUACUGGUCAGAGGGAGCUGGGGUGCAGACACCAGACUGUGGGAGUGAAAGUUGUGGGUGUGUUUGGAAGGACGGUGGACUCAGUGGAGGAUAUCCCAGCCAAUUGGCAGUGUUGGCACUGCUACUUUCUACCUGAUGGGACGAGUUGAAGGUGGAGCAUGCCUCGUACCUGUGGAAGCACCUGGAACUCUGUGCCAUGAUGGCCGACUUCUUGCAAUUCCUGUUACUACGAAAACCGAGCUAUGUCUUCAUGUUCGCCCAUGAGGACAUCUCUCCCUUCGCCUCCCGGCAACCCUUCAAUACCUUCAAUACCUCCUCACCUUGAGGACACACACUGUGCCUGCGUCUCAAUAGUCUUGUAGGUUCCUCCUACUGGCACUUUAGUGAGGACAAUACUGUUCUGGUUAGCACUUGUCAUUAGUAUGUAGAGGCCCUCCAUCAUCAAAUGAAUGCUUUUAUGUAUCUUUUUUGUAUUUUAUUUUGUGAUACUGUUUUUACUUUCUACUGUUUUUGUAUGAGCUGCAAUGAAACAAAUUCCAAUCAACUGUUGAUAUGCCAGUCGCAAGAGUUACAGUUGUCAGUUGGUGUGAAUAAAAUAUUAUUAUUAUUAUUUCAUGUCUUGUAUAUUAACUUUAUCCUCGAGUGUGAUAAUUUCAGUAACUGCUACCUUGCUUUGGCUCUGAUGUGAUCACCCCAUAAAUCUGUAAGAAUGAAAUGCUAUGUAUGUAUGAUCUGGUUUCUGAAUGGAAUACUUUGAUGAGUGUCCUUUCAACUGGCCUUUACCUAAUUUGUCAAGACAACAUGGUUUUGUUGUCCUUUAAACUUUAAUCCAUACCUCUGAUUCAACCACAAAUGUGUCACACCCUGAUCAGUUUCACCUGUCCUCGUUAUUGUCAGCACACCUUCCAGGUGUCGCUUGUUUUCCCCACUGUAUUUAUCCCUGUUUCCUGUCUCUCUGUG